GUCUCCUCCAACUCUGCGAUAUCAUGAUGAUGAGAUUCUGAUUCUUAAAAAUGUGUCAGGCUCAGCCUUCUGCCUUCAGCAGACCUGCGCUCCUGGAGGAAGCUCAAUUCCUGAGCUUGCCAAGCCUUUCUGCAUUCCAGGCUUUUGGCACUCGCUGUUUCCUCUUCCUGGAUGGCUCUUCCUUCUUGCUCUUUGCAAAGCUGGCUCGUUCUCUUCCUCCAGAAUCAUCUGGGUGGAAUUGCAUUCCAUUGAUAAAGCUGUGAUGAAGUGUUAUUCGUUGGAUGAACAAAGUUAGAAGUCAAGAGAAAUUGCUUGGACUCACAUGACAAUUUUUCAGCCAUCAGUCAUUUCUUGGCAUUUGAUCACAUCAUUGUCUCUGUUCCCCUCAUAUUGACUUCGUUGUCUGUUAUUAAUUGAAGCAUGACUUUUCUUUCAGAACUACAACGAACAGUACUCUUUGGAAAAUGGAAGAAAUUUCACUUUUACUUUUCCUAGCUCCUUGACUGUCUGGUUCUCUCCAGAGUAAAUCAGCUUCCUUAUUGGUAUACUUCAAAUAUCACAAACUGAUAUGUCCUUCUUUUGAAGACAUACGCUCUGAAAGGAAAGUUCGCAUGACUUGACUUUGUUCAGGAUGCCUUCAAAUGACCUCAGGAAGAUACAAACUUUGUAACAAAACACCUUGCUAUGAAGUGAGGCACUGAGAAACAAAGAACUGAUAGCAUAUCAGAGUCUAGAUGCAUCCCACAAGCAUAAUGUUGAGUGAAAGAAGCAUCCUGUAUGAGCCCAUUGACGUAAAGUUCAAAAUCAGACUGACGAUAGAAGUCAAGGGAAUGCUUACCCUUGGGGGCAGUGACUAGCUGGUGGCAGCUGGGAUACUUCUGAUGGUAAAGUCCUGUUUUUUUAGCUGGAUGGUGGUUAUAGAGAUAUAUUCACUUUUUAAAAAAAUCCCAUCAUACUA
rnacentral:lncRNA from 1 species